ACAUACAAGUAGUAGGGAAGGAAACUAGGACCGACCCUUCGGGGAGGCUUGAACAGGUGCUGCAUGGCUGUCGUCAGCUCGUGUCGUGAGAUGUUCGGUUAAGUCCGCUAACGAGCGCAACCCUCGCUGUGUGUUACAAGUGUCACACGGAACUGCCGGUCAUAAACCGGAGGAAGGUGGGGAUGACGUCAAGUCAGCAUGGCCUUUAUAUCCUGGGCUACACACACGCUACAAUGGGAAGGGACAAUAGGUUGCGAAGCCGCGAGGCGGAGCCAAUCCAGCAAAACUUCCCUCAGUUCAGAUUGCAGGCUGCAACUCGCCUGCAUGAAGUUGGAGUUGCUAGUAAACGCAGGUCAGCCAUACUGCGUUGAAUACGUUCCCGGGGCUU
rnacentral:rRNA from 1 species